rnacentral:rRNA from 1 species
ACUCCUACGGGAGGCAGCAGUAGGGAAUAUUGCACAAUGGGCGAAAGCCUGAUGCAGCAACGCCGCGUGUGCGAAGAAGGCCUUCGGGUCGUAAAGCACUUUUCUGGGAGAUGAGAAAGGACAGUAUCCCAGGAAUAAGUCUCGGCUAACUACGUGCCAGCAGCCGCGGUAAAACGUAGGAGGCGAGCGUUAUCCGGAUUCACUGGGCGUAAAGCGCGUGCAGGCGGUUUGGUAAGUUGGGCGUGAAAGCUCCUGGCUCAACUGGGAGAGGUCGUCCAAAACUACCAGACUAGAGAGCGGUAGAGGAAAAUGGAAUUCCCGGUGUAGUGGUGAAAUGCGUAGAUAUCGGGAGGAACACCAGUGGCGAAGGCGAUUUUCUGGACCGUUUCUGACGCUCAGACGCGAAAGCUAGGGUAGCAAACGGGAUUAGAGACCCCGGUAGUCCUAGCUGUAAACGAUGUGAACUUGGCGUUGGUGGCUUAAACACCAUCAGUGCCGUAGCUAACGCGAUAAGUUCAC